UAAAUUAUUCUUUUUGCAGCGCUUACUGCGCGGCGAAAACCUUACACACAGUGUCUUUUUGAUACAGAACUCUUGCUUUGGUUUGGCCUAGAGAUAGGUUGGGCCAGAGGUUUAACAAAACACAAUUUAAUUAUUUUUACAGUUGGUCAAAUUUUGAAUUAAUCUUCAAAACUUUCAACAACGGAUCUCUUGGUUCUCGCAUCGAUGAAGAACGCAGCGAAAUGCGAUAAGUAAUAUGAAUUGCAGAUUUUCGUGAAUCAUCGAAUCUUUGAACGCACAUUGCGCCCUCUGGUAUUCCAGAGGGCAUGCCUGUUUGAGCGUCAUUUCUCUCUCAAACCCCCGGGUUUGGUAUUGAGUGAUACUCUUAGUCGGACUAGGCGUUUGCUUGAAAAGUAUUGGCAUGGGUAGUACUGGAUAGUGCUGUCGACCUCUCAAUGUAUUAGGUUUAUCCAACUCGUUGAAUGGUGUGGCGGGAUAUUUCUGGUAUUGUUGGCCCGGCCUUACAACAACCAAACAAGUUUGACCUCAAAUCAGGUAGGAAUACCCGCUGAACUUAAGCAUAUCAAUAAGCGGAGGAA
rnacentral:rRNA from 1 species